AAACUCAUCAUCCAGCAAUAUGUUGUUUGACUUAACAUCACGGUGAACAAUUGGAGGAACACAACCAUGGUGCAAAUAAGAGAGCCCCUCAGCUGCAUCUAAAGCUAUCUUGAACCUCAACGGCCAAUCCAACAAUUUGGCCUUGCAACUGUGCAGCAAAUCACCCAAACUUCCAUUUGGCAUGUACUCAUAUACCAAGAGCUUGCUAUCCCCAGUAUCGCAACAGCACCACAAUUUCACAAUAUUCUUGUGCCUAAUUUUACCCAGAGUUUCAACUUCAAUUUCAAACUCGUCUUUAUCAGACUCAAGAGCACCAUACGGGGUUUCAUCUUUAACUGUUCUCUCCCAUAGCUUCUUGACAGCUACCCCCCCGCCGGGGUAAGAUGGUUGAGAAGGAUA
rnacentral:misc_RNA from 1 species